rnacentral:rRNA from 1 species
AGAGUUUGAUCCUGGCUCAGGAUGAACGCUGGCGGUAUGCUUUACACAUGCAAGUCGAACGCAAAUUUUAAUUUGAGUGGCGGACGGGUGAGUAACACGUGAGAAUUCGCCUUUAGGCGGGGAAUAACUUUCGGAAACGAUAGCUAAUGCCCCAUAUGCUCGUAAGAGUGAAAGGAGUAAUCCACCCAAAGAGAAGCUCGCGGCUGAUUAGCUAGUUGGUAAGGUAAUGGCUUACCAAGGCGACGAUCAGUAGCUGGUUUGAGAGAACGAUCAGCCACACUGGAACUGAGACACGGUCCAGACUCCUACGGGAGGCAGCAGUGGGGAAUUUUCCGCAAUGGGCGAAAGCCUGACGGAGCAAUACCGCGUGAGGGAUGAAGGCCCUUGGGUUGUAAACCUCUUUUAUCAAGGAGGAAGUUCUGACGUGUACUUGAUGAAUAAGCAUCGGCUAACUCCGUGCCAGCAGCCGCGGUAAGACGGAGGAUGCAAGUGUUAUCCGGAAUCACUGGGCGUAAAGCGUCUGUAGGUGGUUUAAAAAGUCCACUGUUAAAAAUUGAAGCUUAACUUCAAAGGUGCGUUGGAAACUUUUAAACUUGAGUAUGGUAGGGGUAAAGGGAGUUUCCAGUGGAGCGGUGAAAUGCGUAGAUAUUGGAAAGACCACCAAUGGCGAAGGCACUUUACUGGGCCAUUACUGACACUGAGAGACGAAAGCUAGGGGAGCAAAUGGGAUUAGAUACCCCAGUAGUCCUAGCUGUAAACGAUGGAUACUAGAUGUUGUGUGUAUUGACCCAUGCAGUAUCGUAGCUAACGCGUUAAGUAUCCCGCCUGGGAAGUAUGCUCGCAAGAGUGAAACUCAAAGGAAUUGACGG